rnacentral:lncRNA from 1 species
GGGUAUUCCUCUUCUCAAAGAGGGCUUCAUCUAAUCUCUUGGGAGACUCUUUGUUCUGCUAAGGAUGCUGGAGGUUUGGGAUUUCUUUCACUUCGUCAUAAGCAAGCGCUCCUUCUGAAAAAUUGGUAGCUAAACCAGUGUUAUAGCCUUUUUCUCUCUGGGCUCAGUUGGUAUCUUCUAAAUAUAAAUUUUAUCAUUCUUGGAUCUCUUAUCACCCGCCUGCUCAU